AUUGAACGCUGGCGGCAUGCCUUACACAUGCAAGUCGAACGGCAGCACGGGAGCAAUCCUGGUGGCGAGUGGCGAACGGGUGAGUAAUAUAUCGGAACGUGCCCAGUCGUGGGGGAUAACGUAGCGAAAGCUACGCUAAUACCGCAUGCGAUCUAUGGAUGAAAGCGGGGGAUCGCAAGACCUCGCGCGAUUGGAGCGGCCGAUAUCAGAUUAGGUAGUUGGUGAGGUAAAGGCUCACCAAGCCGACGAUCUGUAGCUGGUCUGAGAGGACGACCAGCCACACUGGGACUGAGACACGGCCCAGACUCCUACGGGAGGCAGCAGUGGGGGAAUUUUUGGGACAAAUUGGGCGGCAAGCCUGAUCCAGCAAUGCCGCGUGCAGGAUGAAGGCCUCGGUUGU
rnacentral:rRNA from 1 species